rnacentral:rRNA from 1 species
AUCGAACCCGGAGAUAGCUGGUUCUCCUCGAAAUAGCUUUAGGGCUAGCCUCGAUUUAGUCUUAUGGAGGUAGAGCACUGAAUUUCCGCGGGGGCGUCAAAGCUUACCAAAGAAUAUCAAACUCCGAAUGCCAUGUAGAUGAUGAACGGGAGUCAGACUGCACGAGAUAAGUUGGGCAGUCAAAAGGGAAAGAGCCCAGACCGCCAGCCAAGGUCCCAAAGUGUGUGUUAAGUGGAAAAGGAUGUGGGAUCUCCAAGACAACUAGGAUGUUGGCUCAGAAGCAGCCACACAUUCAAAGAGUGCGUAACAGCUCACUAGUCGAGAGGUCCUGCGCCGAAAAUGUCCGGGGCUGAAACACAACACCGAAGCUGCGGAAUUGCGAAUGCAAUUGGUAGAGGAGCAUUCUUAAUGCCGACGAAGCUGUACCGGAAGGAGCAGUGGAGGGAUAAGAAGAGAGAAUGCCGGAAUGAGUAGCGAGAGAGAGGUGGGAAUCCUCUCGGCCGAAUAUCCAAGGUUUCCAGAGUAAAGCUGAUCUGCUCUGGGUAAGUCGGGGCCUAAGGCGAGGUCAAGAGACGUAGCCGAUGGACAACAGGUUUAGAUUCCUGUACCGCAUAUAAACAGAACUGUGGGGACGCAUGGGGAGAGCAUGGGCCGGGAAUGGAAAUACCGGUGCAAGCGAAGGAGGUGUGCAGCCGGCAAAUCCGCUGCAUGAGCCGAAAGCGUGACGCGGAGCGAAAUGAAAGUAGCGAAGCAUGUGAGCCCUGUGCCGAGAAAAGCCGCUAUAGCUUUAUAUGUGCCCGUACCGUAAACCGACACAGGUGGAUGAGGAGAGAAUCCUAAGGCCGGCGGAAGAAGUAUUGUUAAGGAACUCGGCAAAAUGACCCCGUAACUUCGGGAGAAGGGGUGCCCACGGGAGUGGGCCGCAGAGAAUAGGCUCAAGCAACUGUUUAGCAAAAACACAGGUCUAUGCGAAACCGAAAGGUGAAGUAUAUGGGCUGACGCCUGCCCGGUGCUGGAAGGUUAAGAGGAGAGGUUAGCGCAAGCGAAGCUUUGAAUUUAAGCCCCAGUAAACGGCGGCCGUAACUAUAACGGUCCUAAGGUAGCGAAAUUCCUUGUCGGGUAAGUUCCGACCCGCACGAAAGGCGUAAUGAUUUGAGCACUGUCUCGACAAUACAUCCGGUGAAAUUGAAGUACCAGUGAAGAUGCUGGUUACCCGCGCCAGGACGGAAAGACCCCAUGGAGCUUUACUCCAGUUUGGUACUGGGAUUCGGUACUGCACGUACAGGAUAGGUGGGAGACUAAGAAACUUGAACGCCAGUUUGAGUGGAGUCGCUGUUGGGAUACCACCCCUGCAGUAUUGGAUUUCUAACCAGUCACCGUGAUCCGGUGAUGGGACAAUGCCAGGCGGGGAGUUUGACUGGGGCGGUCGCCUCCGAAAGGGUAUCGGAGGCGCUCAAAGGUUCCCUCAGAAUGGUUGGAAACCAUUCGAAGAGUGCAAAGGCAGAAGGGAGCUUGACUGCGACACCGACGGGUGGAGCAGGUACGAAAGUAGGACUUAGUGAUCCGGUGGUAUAAAGUGGGAUUGCCAUCGCUCAACGGAUAAAAGCUACCCUGGGGAUAACAGGCUUAUCACUCCCAAGAGUUCACAUCGACGGAGUGGUUUGGCACCUCGAUGUCGGCUCAUCGCAUCCUGGGGCUGUAGUAGGUCCCAAGGGUUGGGCUGUUCGCCCAUUAAAGCGGUACGCGAGCUGGGUUCAGAACGUCGUGAGACAGUUCGGUCCCUAUCCGGCGCGGGCGGAGGAUAUUUGAGAGGAGCUGUCCUUAGUACGAGAGGACCGGGAUGGACGGACCACUGGUGUAUCUGUUGUCGACCAACGGCAUGGCAGAGUAGCCAAGUCUGGAAGGGAUAAACGCUGAAGGCAUCUAAGCGUGAAGCCCCCCUCAAGAUGAGAUAUCCCUCACAAAAGUGAGUAAGAUCCCUUGAAGACUACAAGGUAGAUAGGGCAGAGGUGGAAGUGUGGCAACACAUGGAGCUGACUGUUACUAAUCGAUCGAGGGCUUGACCAA